GUCUUUCUCCGGGUGCAUGGGCCGCGCGGGUCGUUCUUUGACGGAAAUGCCACCGGAGAAGGACCCAAUUUUGCUGACCGAAACAUACACUCUCUGAUCGUGAGGACCAGAUAAGAGCGGCCCCGGGUGUCAAUCUAAGACGAUGGAAGUGGGGCCUAUUCAUAUUUAUACUUAUAUUUUCAAUAUGAGUGUUGCAAAAUAUAUAAUUUUUAAUUUUUAUAAAAAAGUUUUCUUUCCUUUUUUUUUGGGUAAAAAGUAAUUUUUGGAAGUACUAUCUCCGAACUCAAGAAAAGUAAACUUUAAAGCAGUCA
rnacentral:lncRNA from 1 species